rnacentral:rRNA from 1 species
GGGUCUGCGUUUCAUUAGCUGGUUGGCGGGGUAACGGCCCACCAAGGCAACGAUGGGUAGCCGAUCUGAGAGGAUGAUCGGCCACACUGGAACUGAAACACGGUCCAGACUCCUACGGGAGGCAGCACGCUGGAGUGAUACUAUCUGCAGUCUAUACUAGCGUGCCGUAACAGCCUGACAGUCUACGCGCACGCCGUCGUCGCACGGGAUGCAAGGUUGUUGCGAGAUCUGCUAAACGCUACGUGUCAGCAGAGGUGGAAGCACAAGGGGGUGGYGCUAAUCA